rnacentral:ncRNA from 1 species
AAGGUGGUUCGCCUUUAAUCGGGCGAUUAAAAGGGAACCGUGUGCGAAUCACGGACAGUCCCGCUGCUGUGUGCGGUAUGGUGAACAUUCACAAUAUAUUCCUAAUGGAUGAUCACCACGGAUAAGCAAUAAGUCACUGAGACAUCAAAGUUUAACUAAAUCGUUAGUUGUCUUGGGAAGACGCUUGUCUGAAGCCGCGAGCCAGAAGACCUGCCUCUUGGUGUA